CAUGCAAGUCGAACGAGAAUCUUUGGAAUGAUUCUUUCGGGAUGAAUUCUAAAGAGGAAAGUGGCGGACGGGCGAGUAACGCGUGAGUAACCUGCCCAUAAGAGGGGGAUAAUCCAUGGAAACGUGGACUAAUACCGCAUAUUGUAGUUAAGUUGCAUGACUUGAUUACGAAAGAUUUAUCGCUUAUGGAUGGACUCGCGUCAGAUUAGAUAGUUGGUGAGGUAACGGCUCACCAAGUCAACGAUCUGUAGCCGAACUGAGAGGUUGAUCGGCCGCAUUGGGACUGAGACACGGCCCAGACUCCUACGGGAGGCAGCAGUGGGGAAUAUUGCGCAAUGGGGGCAACCCUGACGCAGCAACGCCGCGUGCAGGAAGAAGGUCUUCGGAUUGUAAACUGUUGUCGCAAGGGAAGAAGACAGUGACGGUACCUUGUGAGAAAGUCACGGCUAACUACGUGCCAGCAGCCGCGGUAAUACGUAGGUGACAAGCGUUGUCCGGAUUUACUGGGUGUAAAGGGCGCGUAGGCGGACUGUCAAGUCAGUCGUGAAAUACCGGGGCUUAACCCCGGGGCUGCGAUUGAAACUGACAGCCUUGAGUAUCGGAGAGGAAAGCGGAAUUCCUAGUGUAGCGGUGAAAUGCGUAGAUAUUAGGAGGAACACCAGUGGCGAAGGCGGCUUUCUGGACGACAACUGACGCUGAGGCGCGAAAGUGUGGGGAGCAAACAGGAUUAGAUACCCUGGUAGUCCACACCGUAAACGAUGGAUACUAGGUGUAGGAGGUAUCGACCCCUUCUGUGCCGCAGUUAACACAAUAAGUAUCC
rnacentral:rRNA from 1 species